GGGGAUGUUUUGGAUUUGACAGCAUAUGACAUCGGAAGGUAAGCACGUCGAGCGUCGUAGCCUUGCUCGCUAAUCUCAGACUACAAGCCUAUAAAUGGCAACGAAUCUUAUGCACUCGCUGCGUAGUCUGCCAAGCACACUACCUUAAUCCUCGCCGCCAAGGCUGCGGCGACGACGAGUAUCCCGCCGGACUUUAAGUCUGCUAUGGCCGGCACUAGGGGUAUCAUCCAAGCGGAAUGCGGAUACUGAUUUCUCUAAGGUAUCCUAAGACUCAGAGGAUAAGGGUAAGGUAGUUUGUCCUUUAGCAGCCUUGCCCCGACAACCACUAAAGGAAUAAGCGUGUAGAAAGCCUUUGGGUGCUAUGUUUGGACGGCGGUUCGAGCCCGCCCAUCUCCAC
rnacentral:tmRNA from 1 species